rnacentral:rRNA from 1 species
GACCCGCGUCUGAUUAGCUAGUUGGUAAGGUAACGGCUUACCAAGGCGACGAUCAGUAGCCGACCUGAGAGGGUGAUCGGCCACAUUGGAACUGAGACACGGUCCAAACUCCUACGGGAGGCAGCAGUGGGGAAUAUUGCACAAUGGGCGAAAGCCGGAUGCAGCAACGCCGCGUGAGGGAUGAAGGCCUUCGGGUCGUAAAACUCUGUCCUCAAGGAAGAUAAUGACGGUACUUGAGGAGGAAGCCCCGGCUAACUACGUGCCAGCAGCCGCGGUAAUACGUAGGGGGCUAGCGUUAUCCGGAUUUACUGGGCGUAAAGGGUGCGUAGGCGGUCUUUCAAGUCAGGAGUGAAAGGCUACGGCUCAACCGUAGUAAGCUCUUGAAACUGGGAGACUUGAGUGCAGGAGAGGAGAGUGGAAUUCCUAGUGUAGCGGUGAAAUGCGUAGAUAUUAGGAGGAACACCAGUUGCGAAGGCGGCUCUCUGGACUGUAACUGACGCUGAGGCACGAAAGCGUGGGGAGCAAACAGGAUUAGAUACCCUGGUAGUCCACGCUGUAAACGAUGAGUACUAGGUGUCGGGGGUUACCCCC